AGAGUUUGAUCCUGGCUCAGAACGAACUCUGGCGGCGUGGAUAAGACAUGCAAGUCGAACGAGAGAAUUGCUAGCUUGCUAAUAAUUCUCUAGUGGCGCACGGGUGAGUAACACGUGAGUAACCUGCCCCCGAGAGCGGGAUAGCCCUGGGAAACUGGGAUUAAUACCGCAUAGAAUCGCAAGAUUAAAGCAGCAAUGCGCUUGGGGAUGGGCUCGCGGCCUAUUAGUUAGUUGGUGAGGUAACGGCUCACCAAGGCGAUGACGGGUAGCCGGUCUGAGAGGAUGUCCGGCCACACUGGAACUGAGACACGGUCCAGACACCUACGGGUGGCAGCAGUCGAGAAUCAUUCACAAUGGGGGAAACCCUGAUUGUGCGACGCCGCGUGGGGGAAUGAAGGCCUUCGGAUUGUAAACCCCUGUCAUGUGGGAGCAAAUUAAAAAGAUAGUACCACAAGAGGAAGAGACGGCUAACUCUGUGCCAGCAGCCGCGGUAAUACAGAGGUCUCAAGCGUUGUUCGGAAUCACUGGGCGUAAAGCGUGCGUAGGCUGUUUCGUAAGUCGUGUGUGAAAGGCGCGGGCUCAACCCGCGGACGGCACAUGAUACUGCGAGACUAGAGUAAUGGAGGGGGAACCGGAAUUCUCGGUGUAGCAGUGAAAUGCGUAGAUAUCGAGAGGAACACUCGUGGCGAAGGCGGGUUCCUGGACAUUAACUGACGCUGAGGCACGAAGGCCAGGGGAGCGAAAGGGAUUAGAUACCCCUGUAGUCCUGGCAGUAAACGGUGCACGCUUGGGGUGCGGGGAAUCGACCCCCUGCGUGCCGGA
rnacentral:rRNA from 1 species